AUGCUCGUAGGGUCCGAUCAUGACAACAUGGAUGAUGACGAGGAAGGGAGCAUGUUGUCUGCUAUACCUAGCGAGGUUGAUCCAUUAGAAUUUUUUUACACAAACAUCCCCGACACCACUCACAUCCUGAAGCUCGACGCAAACUGCAAACACUGCAAGGCCAAAAAGUUUGUCUCUGAGACCGACGGGUUCUGCUGUCGCAAUGGCCAGAUCAAACUUAAACAACCGGAGCCAAUCCCAGAGCUGAUGAGGCUAUGGUCAAGCAUGGAUGCAGAUUCUAGACAUUUUCGGGAGAACAUACGGUUCUUCAACGGGCAUUUCGCCUUCACAACCCUUGGCGUUAGCCUUGAUGAGAACUACACAAACAUCAAGUCUGGGGUGUACACAUUCCGUGCGCACGGCUCCAUCUAC
rnacentral:rRNA from 1 species